GAUGAACGCUAGCUACAGGCUUAACACAUGCAAGUCGAGGGGAAACGACAUCGAAAGCUUGCUUUUGAUGGGCGUCGACCGGCGCACGGGUGAGUAACGCGUAUCCAACCUGCCCACCACUUGGGGAUAACCUUGCGAAAGUAAGACUAAUACCCAAUGACGUCUCUAGAAGACAUCUGAAAGAGAUUAAAGAUUUAUCGGUGAUGGAUGGGGAUGCGUCUGAUUAGCUUGUUGGCGGGGUAACGGCCCACCAAGGCGACGAUCAGUAGGGGUUCUGAGAGGAAGGUCCCCCACAUUGGAACUGAGACACGGUCCAAACUCCUACGGGAGGCAGCAGUGAGGAAUAUUGGUCAAUGGACGAGAGUCUGAACCAGCCAAGUAGCGUGCAGGACGACGGCCCUAUGGGUUGUAAACUGCUUUUAUAAGGGAAUAAAGUGAGCUACGUGUAGCUUUUUGCAUGUACCUUAUGAAUAAGGACCGGCUAAUUCCGUGUCCAGCGCCGCGGU
rnacentral:rRNA from 1 species